rnacentral:rRNA from 1 species
AACGAACGCUGUCGGCAGGCCUAACUCAUUCAAGUUGAGCGCCCUUUCGGGGGGGCGUCGGCUGGGUGUGUAACGCGUGGUAUUAUGCCCUUCUUUACGGCAUAGCCUCGGGAAACUGAGAGUAAUACCGUAUACGCCCUCCGGGGGAAAGGUUUAUCGGGGAAGGAUUAGCCCGCGUUGGAUUAGGUAGUUGGUGGCGUAAUGGCCUACCAUGCCGACAAUCCAUAGCUGGUUUGAGAGGAUGAUCAGCCACACUGGGACUGAGACACGGCCCAUACUCCGACGAGAGGAAGCAGUGGGGAAUCUUAGACAAUGGGGGCAACACUGAUCCAGCAAUGCCGCGUGAGUGAUGAAGGCCAUAGGGUUGUGAAAAUAGUUCAGCUGGGAAGAUAAUGACGGUACAAGCAGAAGAAGCCAGGGCUAACUACGUG